GAUGAAGAACGUAUCGAAAUGCGAUAAGUAGUGUGAAUUGCAGAAUUCAGUGAAUCAUCGAAUCUUUGAACGCACAUUGCGCCUCCUGGUAUUCCGGGAGGCAUGCCUGUUCGAGCGUCAUUAAAAUCACUCAAGCUUAGGUUUACCUAUUGCUUGGUCUUGGAGAUGGAAGCCAAUUCAUUGGAAUCCUCUUCGAAAUCCAAUGGCGAAGACCCUUGCUCUCCCAAGUGUAGUAAUAACUUAUGUCACUGAAGGAAGCGAGAAAUCUUCCGCCGUAACCCCCAUAUUUUCUAUGAUUGACCUCGGAUCAGGUAGGGAUACCCGCUGAACUUAAGCAUAUCAAUAAGCGGAGGA
rnacentral:misc_RNA from 1 species